rnacentral:rRNA from 1 species
UACGUAGGGGGCAAGCGUUGUCCGGAAUCAUUGGGCGUAAAGAGCGUGUAGGCGGCCAGAAAAGUCCGCUGUGAAAACUCGAGGCUCAACUUCGAGCUGUCGGUGGAAACUUUCUGGCUAGAGUCCGGAAGAGGAGAAUGGAAUUCCUGGUGUAGCGGUGAAAUGACGCAGAUAUCAGGAAGAACACCCGUGGCGAAGGCGGGUCUCUGGGCAGUAACUGACGCUGAGGAGCGAAAGCGUGGGGAGCGAACAGG